GCCGUGGUUUUCGGGUAUGCUUUAAUCUGCAACAUAAGGUAAGCUCUUGAAAGUUUUGACAUACCAAGUUCAGAGAAGAAGCAAUUAGCUAGGCAAUAAUAUGUUUCAUUUGGUUUAAUUUAUUUGUUUCCAUGCAUAGAAUGAGUUAUCACAACCAUAACACAGUAUGAAUGGCACAUUUUAGACAAAAGAUAGAAGUGUGUCGACAUUAAAUUACUUAUGCUUUACAAAUAGGCAUUCCUGUCAAUAAUUAAUGAUGCAAAACUGAGUUUAAUUUGGUGAGAUUUGUCCAAACACAUAUAUGAGGAAAUUAAAAUGACUAAGCUCUCUUUCAUGAGCGAUAUUUUCUAUGAUUGGAACAACAAGUUGGUCAUAGUAACCAUGCCCUGGGAUUCCUUUGAUCAUCUCCAUAUGUGUGAUCUGUAAAUACAACCAUCUAUAAUUAAAAUAUAUAACGUUUAAUUAUCUUCUUCUUUAGGAUGGAAAAUCAAAGUCCCACACUCGAAAUUCUUUUGACUAUGGAUUCAGCAUUGUUACGAGGCAAGAUUCCAUUCCAUGGCUGUGGAUGACACAACCUGCAUUAAGCAUUUCAUACGCCUGCAAAAUGCAACAAUUUAGUUUUUCCAAGAGCAAAGAUACAGAAAC
rnacentral:lncRNA from 1 species